UCCCGUUGAUCCUGCGGGAGAGUUCCGCUAGGGGGGGUAGAUUAAGCCAUGCAAGUGUGUUUGUCUUCGGAUGAACCGCAGAAUGCUGAGUAACACGUCAUUAAUCUGUCUUAUGGUUUGUUAUAAUCUCGGAAAACUGAGGGUAACGACAAAUAGGUGUAAAAUACUGGAAUGUAUUACAUUGAACAUAAGGUGAGGUGGCGGCUGAUUAGAUAGUUGGUAAGGUAAUGGCUUACCAAGUCUGAGUUCAGUAGGGGUCGUGAGAGCGAAGACCCCCAGAAGGACACUGAGAUAAGGGUCCUAGCCCUAAGGGGUGCAGCAGGCGCGAAAACUCUACAAUGCACGCAAGUGUGAUAGGGUAACCCCCUGUGCCAACUUUGUUGGCUUUUGUUAAAUGUAAUGUCUUUAACGAAUAAGUGGUGGGCAAGACCGGUGCCAGCAGCCGCGGUAACACCGGCGCCACGAGUGGAAUUCGUUUUUAUUGGGUCUAAAGCGUCCGUAGCAGGUUUGAUAAGUCUUUUGUUAAAUAUCCGAGCUUAACUUGGGAACUGCAAAAGAUACUGUCUUACUUGAGACCGGGUGAGGUUAGGGGUAUUCCAAGUCUAGCGGUUAAAUGUUAUAAUACUUGGAGGACCAACUAAGGCGAAGGCACCUAACUAGAACGGGUCUGACUGUGAGGGACGAAAGCUGGGGGAGCGAACCGGAUUAGAUACCCGGGUAGUCCCAGCUGUAAACACUGAGGGUUGAGCUCUACCUAAUCUACGAGAUUUGGUAGGACUGAAGCGAAGGCGUUAAACCCUCCACCUGGGAAGUACAGCCGCAAGGCCGAAACUUAAAGGAAUUGCCGGGGGAGUACUACAAGCGGUGCGGCGUGCUGUUUAAUUGGAUUGUACACCGAGAAACUCACCAGGGGCGACAGCAGAAUGAAGGUCAGAUUGAAGGUUUUACCUGACACGCUGAGAGGUGCUGCAUGGCCGCCGUCAGCUCGUGCCGUGAGGUGUCCUCUUAAGUGAGGAAACGAGCAAAACCUAUGCUUAUAGUUGCUAUCUGAGUUUGUCAGAGCACUCUAUAGGGACUGCCUUGGAAACAAGGAGGAAGGUGUAGGCGAAGGUAGGUCUGUAUAGCCCGAAACUCCUGUGCUACAAGCGCGCAACAAUGGUUAGUACAAUGAGUUGCAACUCCGAAAGGAGAAGCUAAUCUCUAAAGCUAAUCUUAGUUCAGAUUGAGAGCUGUAACUCGCUCUCAUGACGUUGGAAUCGCUAGUAAUCGGGUAUUAGCAAUGCCCGGUGAAUAUGUCCAUUCUCCUUGGACACACUGCCCGUCAAGCCAGCCAAGUUUGUCCGGAAUGAGGGGUUCUUUUUUGAGGACUUCAAAUUCUGGGGAGAUGAGGAGGGUUAAGUCGUCACAAGGUA
rnacentral:rRNA from 1 species